rnacentral:lncRNA from 1 species
ACAAGUAUUCCUCUUCUGAGCUGCACCCUCAGCUGCUCUGCUGCUCCAAAGUCUCCUCUAUCCAUGCUGUCACCACUUCAGUUAAGAUGUCAUUCUUUUUCUUUCUUGAUCUUGAUACUACUUUCUUUCUUUCUUUUUUUAAUUAGGUAUUUUCUUCAUUUACAUUUCCAAUGCUAUCCCAAAAGUCCCCCAUACCCUCCCUGCCCCCACUCCCCUACCCACCCACUCCCAUUUCUUGGCCCCGGCGUUCCCCUGUACUGAGGCAUAUAAAGUUUGCAAGACCAAUGGGCCUCUCUUUCCACUGAUGGCUGACUAGGCCAUCUUCUGCUACAUAUGCAGCUAGAGACACGAGCUCCGGGGAUACUGGUUAGUUCAUAUUGUUGCUCCACCUAUAGGGUUGCAGAUCCCUUUAGCUCCUUGAUACUACUUUCAUAGGGACUUAAAGGAACUACUUUUGGUACAUAAAGAAUCACAUGGCCUACCCCUAGAAACACAGCAGGUAUGGCUGCUGUGUCACAAGUUCGUCAGUAGGUGGCAGAGAGAAAGAGGGUGUGUCUAUGCUCAGUGUUCUAACCUGAAAACAGAAAGCCUGAUCAGUCCAACAGUCUGGUGCAGCACAAGCUCAGAGCAAGCUGGAGACUAGAAGAACCCCACUUGGAACUGAGGGCCAUUGGUGGAAGUGAGCCUGAGAUAGAGUACCCUUGCAUGGGUCCACUUGGAUGGGCUGGGUGAGAAGCGAACUGGAGAUGACAAGACUGGCACCAUGGGGUCUAGACAGGGAGUUAGCCUGAGACACCUACCAGUGGGGCACGUUGAAGGCAUGAGUAGGGGCAGACCAUGCCUGAGAUGACCCUUGCCUGGUGCCAUAAUGCACAAGCUGGGAAUAGAACUCCUGAGGUCACUCCUGAGAUGACUCCAGGCACUUAGAGACCCUGGGUACCUCUAUGAGGAGCAAGUAAGUGAUAGAGAAAUGGAUGAGAAAGAGAAACAGAAGAGUGUGUGCACAAUGAAGAGAGGCAGAACUGGAGACUUGAAGGUAACAAGGGACAGCCUGAAGUGAGUUGCCAGUAAUCCCACCUGGAACCAUAGUGAGGUCCUGGCCUGUGCUGCCCCCGGGACCCAUAUCUGGGUCCAUGGCCUUGUUAGCAGCAGGUGUCUGUUACCACCAAAGGCCAGGUAUAUAUCUCUGGUCAGGGCUGCCACCUAGGAACAUAUUAAUAUCUGAUGGCUGUGCAGUACUCCCCUUGCUCUUUACCUGAGUAUCAUGUGAGAGCUGGCCCUGGGGGCAUGAGAGCAGGAUGCCUGAUCCUGUCCCAUAGGCAACUGCAAUGUUCCAUAUUUCAUGAUUUGCAGUUGCACUGCCUCCUCCCUACCCCACCCCAAGAAUAUGAAUGUGGGAGACCUGGUCCUACCAUUAGUCUCCCUUGUGGUGGUAUACAAAAGGGAGAGAUACUCUCCUACCUCCUCACCUCUCCCUGCCACCUGAGGCAGACAGAAGACCUGGCCCAAGGGUCAUGAGAGUAGGAGAGUUGGCCCUGCCCCUCACCAGCUGCACCACCUGGGAGAGCAGGCCCUACACCUUGCCUAGACAGCACAGUAGAGCUAGCUAGCUUUGGAUGUCAUGGUUUUGUAUAAGUACCGAGGGGUUGAGUAUGGGAGAACCUAUAUGCUGACCACCUCGGAUACUUCUCAGGCUCAGAUCCAAGUCUUUGAAUGGGCCCAUCCUAACAUCUAUCCCAUUAGUGAAUGUCUGUAGGUCAUAAGGUACCAAUAUUGAUGGUAUCAUAAAAGCCAGAGGCCAUGAACCAGACCAGGAGGUCAUUGCAGUGAACAAUUGCAAGACAGUGAACCCACUGAGUGGAUUUCAAUUGAAACCAUAACAUCUUCUCCAGGAAAAAAAAUCAGAAAUCAGACCAACUAUGUAAUCUGUUGCCUUCUAUAUAUUUUCGUAUUGAGGUUUGGCAAGUUUGGGUUAGUACUGGUAUUUGUGCAUAUAUGUAUAGGGUCUCACUAGGUGAGACAGGCUGCCCUGUAACUUCCAGUCCUCUGCUUUUGUUUGCCAAAUACAGAGAUUAUAUGGGGACAUGUUCCAACACACCCAGACUUGAGCCAAAUCUUAUUGGGAUAUAAUUGUGCUUAUUCCUUUACAUAUUAUUUUGUAGCCAGUUUUAUCUCACAGUGCUUGAAUAGCUGUAGUAGAUAAUGUGACCCACAAAUAUGAAAAUAUUUGUUCUUUUACCAGGAAAGUUUUGUUGAUGAUAUACAGUUUAUACCCUUGCCCUAUUAUUUGAUACUCUUAAAAAACAUUAGUUUUUGUCAACAUUUUUAUGAAAAAUUCCUGUUUGCCAUGUAAUUUAUAAAAUUGACUUAAUUGGAAGCUCAGCAACUCCUGGGCUUCAAGUAACUUUUACUUUUAAUUUAUUUACAUUUUAAAAAAAAGUAAUAUAUAUUUGAGGUGAGAAGGUGUGUGUGUGUGUGUUUGUGUGUGUCCACAUCAGGUGCUCUUGGAGAGCAUAGGCAUUGAAUUACCUGGAAUUGGGAGCUUUAGGCAGCUGUGAAUUGCCUGAUGUGGGUGUGAGCAUGAGCGCUAAGUUUAUCUACAAAUGCAGUACAUACGCUUAGCCACGGGGCCAUCUCCCCAGCCCCUGCUUUUAUUCUUUGAAUCACUAUUUUUUCAAAGGUGCCUUAUCCAAAAUAUAUGGGUUAAUAAUGGUAUCUGAUAUUUCUGGCCUUCGGUAAAAGACCUAUGCUUAUGUUAAAUCAAUCAUAAGGUAUUCAUACAUUCAUUUACAACAUACUCAUUUUUCUUCAGCUUUCUUACUAUUACUCUAG